GGAGUGGGAAGGGCUAGUUGCCUGAGAGGAAGGUUGUUUGGAAACAGCACAACAGAUCGUCCGGCUCCUUCAGAGGCUAGAAGAAAACACUAUCCACUGCAAACAGAACCCACUUGCAAUAAAGGAUGGGCAUCCAGCGCUGCAACCCUGCUAUGCAUUUUUCUACUUCCCAAUGCAUCCUUCUGUUCUCCUCUUUCUUUUCACAAGGCUCUCAUUCGCUCCUCUAUCUGGAUCAAACAUUGGAAACAGCAGUUUACCACCAAAGGAGAUGCUAAUAGCUGUUCCCCAAACACAGCACAGGCACUGGGGGUGAGACAAUCUAAGAUCUACCUGAGAACAGCUAUACCAUCCCUGUCACACUCCUACACAACAAUCAGUUUACUUGCAAUUCUUUAAAAGCAACGGUCCUCUCUGUGUUGGGGUUUGUCUGUAUUUUAACAUCUCUGUUUCCUGCACCUUGACUCUGGGGAGCGAGAUUAUUCUAGCAAAAAUAAAAUAAAUAAUAGAGCCUGCUUUCCCCUAAGCAAAC